GACGAACGCUGGCGGCGUGCUUAACACAUGCAAGUCGAACGGAAAGGCCCUGCUUUUGUGGGGUGCUCGAGUGGCGAACGGGGGAGUAACACGUGAGUAACCUGCCCUUGACUUUGGGGUAACUUCAGGAAACUGGGGCGAAUACCGGAUAUGAUCUCCUGCUGCAUGGUGGGCGUUGGAGAGUUUCGGCGGUUGGGGCUGGACUCGCGGGUUACCAGCUUGUUGGUGGGGUAGGUGCAUACCAAGGCUUUGACGGGUAGCCGGCAUGGGAGGGGUACCGGCGACCAUGGGACUGCGAUACGGACCAGAAUCCUACGGGAGGCAGCAGUGGGGAACAUUGCACAACGGGCGGAAGCCUGAUGCAGCAACGCCGGGUGCGGGAUGCCGGCCUUCGGGUUGUAAACCGCUUUCGCCUGUGACGAAGCGUGAGUGACGGUAAUGGGUAAAGAAGCACCGGCUAACUACGUG
rnacentral:rRNA from 1 species